UACAGAGGUCCCGAGCGUUGUUCGGAUUCACUGGGCGUAAAGGGUGCGUAGGUGGUUGGGUAAGUUUGAUGUGAAAGCUCAGGGCUUAACCCUGAAAUGGCAUUGAAUACUACUUAACUGGAGGUUUGGAGGGGGGACUGGAAUUCUUGGUGUAGCAGUGAAAUGCGUAGAUAUCAGGAGGAACACCGGUGGCGAAGGCGGGUCUCUGGGCCGUAACUGACGCUGAGGAGCGAAAGCGUGGGGAGCGAACAGG
rnacentral:rRNA from 1 species